rnacentral:rRNA from 1 species
AACGUAGGAGACAAACGUUGUCCGGAUUUACUGGGCGUAAAGAGCGCGCAGGCGGUCGGCUAAGUCGAAUGUGAAAGCCCCCGGCUCAACUGGGGAGGGUCGUGCGAAACGGGUGAACUAGAGGCCAGUAGGGGGAUGCGGAAUUCCGGGUGUAGUGGUGGAAUGCGUAGAGAUCCGGAGGAACACCAGCGGCGAAGGCGGCAUCCUGGACUGGUCCUGACACUCAGGAGCGAAAGCGUGGGGAGCGAUCCGG